rnacentral:sRNA from 1 species
GCCGGGGGUGGUGGCGCACACCUGUAAUCCCAGCAGCUUGGGAGGCUGAGGCACGAAGAUCUUGAAUUCAAAGCCAGCCUCAGCAAUUUAGGGAGGCCCUGAGCAAGUUGGCAAGACCCUGUCUCUA